GACACUGAGGCCACCAUUGCCCCUGGGCCCACGUCUCCCUCUGGUGGGAAGAGCAUAGGUUUAGCCAGCGAGAAGGUGUUUGCUUAAAAGAUUUGCUCAGAGUGGUUCUGAGGCACUCGGAGCACUCUGGUGCUCAAGUGGAGUCCGACUAGGUAUGCCAAUCCGAGGUUUGGGGUCAGUUCCCAACGUGUGUCCUCAGUCACUGAGCUUCCUGAAACAUUUUCAGGACCCUCUCUACGAGGCUCUUUAAGCACAAGGUUGUAGGCCUUGCCUCAUGUUCUCUGCUCUGUGCAAGUUCGGCCUUCCAACAGUUUUCUUCCAGUUUCCACCUGAGGAUCUUACCUGGUGAUAUCGGCCGAAUUCCAAAAGCCUUCUGCUCUUAGUUUGGUCUGCUGGAAUUGUGCCAGUCUAGAAGGAGCAACUCACCAAGUGGUCAAGAUUAUUAUUUCAUUGUUUUCUAUGAUGUAAGAGCUAGCAGAAGGCCAGUUUGCCGUGAAAUGAAUGACUGCCACUUUCUGAGGCCUCCCUUAGGCGGUAGUAAACCAGACAUUCUGCAUUUAAAUCACGUCCCUAAAUUCUACCAGUUUUGGCUAGGGCUGAGAGGGCCUUAUUCUUCAGCUGUUGAGUAAAAAGGUGUCCGCAGGAUCUGCCAUUGUGUUGGAGAUUGAACAUCAAGUGGCUUGCUAGACACGUGAUGGGUGAUGGGGCUCAUUAAAUCUUUGAGGUUCCUUCCAACCACUGAAUAGGGAUGAGUUCAAGGAUUCUAAACUGAACUUUAUCCUCCCAGAAACUGAUUACCAUCCAGAAAAUGUCUGUUUUAAGUAAUCACACCCAAAAAUAGUGGUGAGUUUUAAAGCCUCCUUAUUAUCACUUCCUUUGAGGCACCAGUCCACCAUUUCAGGCCCUUGUUCUUUCUGAAAUGCCUUUCCGAGCAGUCCUUCCUUUAACUUCCCAAAGCUCUGAUAACAGUGAAAAUGGAAAUGCAGGGGUGGGGUGGGAUGGGGUGGGGUGUGUGCACCUAUGCACUUUCCCCUGCCCCACUUCAGAUUCCACCCCAGGAUUAUCUCCUCUGACCACUUUCAGAUCACAGGGUUUCUAGAAAACUUUUCAACUGAAAACAUCCUGUUUAGGCUUUAAGAAUGAGCAAACACUGUAAUUGGAGCAUUGUAAUUUAUGGGUGUGUCUUGGAUCCAUUCGGUGUAACUAGUCCCUCCCAGAAGCAAGAGAAUUGUUUCAGUGGGUGCUACAAAGAGUACUACAGGCAGGGAGUGAAGCUGCUGGCCUCCAGAUUUAAAACAGUAGCUUGGUUGAUCUUAGGAGAUGAUUUGGAGAGAGGUAGCUAAGUAUAUAGGUCUCUGGCAAGGGUGGGCAGGUGGCUCAAGGACUAUGGCAGGGGUGCAGAAGAGCUCUUGUAGACUGACAUAACUAACAUAACAGCUGUCGGGGUCAUCAGAAUAGCUGUGAUACUCCCAUGGCAGCAGGCCGGUUGACUGUCCGGUUGACUGUCCUUAGGAGGAGUGGGUACAACGCCGCUCACCUGAGACUCAGGCUGUUCUCUCCCAACCCUAAUUGCAUUGGCUCUGUCCCAGCAGAGAUGCUAGAUUACAGAGUGUGGAAGGUUAGCCGAAAGGGGAGACCCCAUCUAUGCAGCUUUGGGUAAAUCAUUAUCCAUGCUGGCGUUCAUCUGCUUUGGGCUCACCCAUGUUCCGCUGACUCCUCCCUCAGGUUUGUAAGUAAGCCAAUAAAGUCACUGGUUCCCCAGGGGAGCUUUGGUGGGACGGUACUUUGGUUCAUCAUCUAUGCCAUGUGACAGACUUUUCCUGGGGAAACAAAACACACUUAUCAACUUAUCCCCGAUAGGGAACCCAUGACAGAUUAAAGUGCAGAUACACCAAAGUCCAGCUUGGUGAACUUGGUAAGUGGGUUUUAUUGUAAGUGGUUACUUACAGGAAUAUGGGUGAGGGGUUUCUUACAGAAGCUGUGGACAGAUAACAGCUUCUAAGGGAGGGAAAGGCAGUAGUCUUUAAUGAUGUGACUCCCGAGAAGUCAGCUACACUCUAGUGGAUAGCCCCACACCCAGGACUAAGUGUAUGGACAGCAAAAACUGGAGUGGAUGGGUUAUUAAAGUAGAGAGAUAACAGGUCACAACAUCGGGGAAUAAAGAGGUGGGUAGAUCUGGAAGGAGUCUAGGGGAAGAGUUGGGGGUGAAUAUUAUCAAAAUACCUUGCAUGAAAUUCUCAAAGAACUCUUUAUUUUGUAGGCUAAUGAGUUAAUACAUACAGUCAUUUUUGGAAUCUUAAAUGCAAUCAAUUUAGAAGAAAACCACAUCCUGCUUUUUACUGCGUUCCAUAGCUUCCUGGGAUGGGACUGGGAGGUUCAGGCUUGCUCAGCUAACACCUUUACCUAAUAACCUGUCUCCCUCACCCACAUCUACCUCUCCCCUCAGGGUCACAGGGGUCAAACUCAAAUACUCCUGCUUGCAAGAGGAGUUUUUCCUCCCAGCCCCAGGAGCAGCUCUUAGGUUGGAGUGCACAGUGAGCUGCUGAGCCCUUGUUGAAGAGAGACGUAAAGGUCAGGAAAAACAAGCGAACAUGGUGGUUUAGAGGUGCAGUAAGUGCUAGAGAAAGAGCAGAAGGGAGUAGAGUGGAGGAGCUUUAACAGACAGCGAUGUGAGUCCCAGCUUGGUGGUCCAUGAAGGCUACAGUAGAUCAGAGCACCCCAAGUUCUAACCAGAGAUAAAUUAUGGCUAGCUCCGUAGGGCCCCACGGGUGCCAGAACUAAUUCUAGGGCCCAGCAUGACAAGGUGCCACGUUGGAAUGGCCCUCGAAUUGCCUGGGUCUGAGAGUACUUGGGGGCAGCCUGCAGCUGCUGAGAUAAAAGUACCCCCGAGGGCACAUGGGUACUGGCACUAGUGCGGGAUAAAAGGCUACCAAUUUCUUAAUAUUUACCACAACAUUUAGGUACCGAAGAUGCUCAAUGAUGUGUUUUUUAAAAAAAGAAUGAUUGAAGAAAACAAGUCAAUUUGACAUUUUGUUCAGUAUUUUUAAGAUUCAGAAAAAUAGAAAUCAUGGUCCCUAAAUCAUGAAGUAUAACCAUAGCCUAUGCAGAAACACAACAGACCCACCCACCACUGACAGCACUUAACUACUUAGAGCUGUUGAUCAUGGUAGCUCCUUCUAAAACCCAGUUCUAAAUGGAAAGUAACAUUUUGGCCUUUACAAAGGUUAUGAAAGUAAGAUUAGGUUCAUCUUUCCACACUUCUGGGAAACUCACAAAUGAGCUCAGGUGAGGACUGUCACAGCCUAUAUGAAGACAGACGAAAGAGUGUGAAUCAUCUCUUAGAGCCUUCCCCAAAUCCUGGCUGAUUCAUCAUUUCACACAACAGCUCUCCUGUGAACAGUUCAACCCUGUAAGGGCACUGUACUGUCCUGUAGUUCUAGGUAACACCUCCUGAAGGCUUGCUAUUUGGAGGGAAGAAGGGGGGUAUGUUAUUCUCCCUUUUCCCAUCCCUCCAUGUUUGCUCUGUGUAUGUGUGUAUGUGUGUGUGAGUGGUGUGUGUGUGUGUGUGGUGUGUGGUGUGCGUAGUUUGUGAGUGUGUGUGGUGUGAGUGUGUAGUGUGUGUGUGUGUGAGUGUGUACAGUGUAGUGUGAGUGUGUAUAGUGUGUGUGUGUGGUGUGUGUAGUUUGUGAGUGUGUGUGGUGUGAGUGUGUAUUGUGUGUGUGUGGUGUGAGUGUGUGUGGUGUAUGUGUAGUUUGUGUGUGGUGUGAGUGUGUACAGUGUAGUGUGAGUGUGUAUAGUGUGUGUGUGUGUGUGUGUGUGUGUGAUUUGCAGCUUUGUGGUCACCUCCUCAUUUGGAUGGCAGUACAAAGAUUACCUGACCAGGGUUCUAAAAGCCUAACUUGAAUUCUGCAUGUGACACUCUUAAGGCUUCUUCUCUGAGGAGCUCACAACUUAAGGUGGCUGAAAUGUGUUCCCUACUUCCAUAGUAGAUAGUAUCCACAUGUUCAGAUGAGGUAGUUGCCCACUAUUAGCCCUCACACAUAAAACCCAGUGUGUGCCCACAAAUGUUCAUUCAUAAAUUUCCUUGAGACUGUGUGUUUUCCAACUUCAACUGUUUACCUCCGUGUCUAGGAACAUGGCUUUCCAUUUCGUGGCCCUCCGCAUUUGGCUAGCAUUUGGUUGGGAACACAGAUUUUAGGAAAUGAUGGUUUGCCUGCUAGGGUCUUAUUUCACCCGAUUGCUCAAUGUUGAGAUGCCUGGUGGACUGAAACAGAGUUGCUGGUAUAUUUUAUCAUACGUUUGUAUUCCUUCCUUUCCUGCAGAGUCUAAGACAGGCAGAUCCUACUAGUGAUUUCCACAGUCCUGAGGCAUCCAUUGUCCUCUUCCUGUCAGUGUUUUCAUCGUCUUUCCAGUGCAGCGACUGGAAUGCUACCCAUGGCGUAGGCAAGCCGGAGAGAAGAUAGACCACUUCAGGGAACUCAGUCACGGGGUGGGCUGGGCCGGGCCUGGCAGAGCCUGAAGCGGAGGGGAGCUGGUGUGUGGCCUGCAUUUCUGUCUGUUCCCCUUUGCUGUGAGAAACACAAGGGCCUCAAGCCACUUGGAAAGGAACUCAUUUAUUUCACCGUAAGUUCUCAUCCAUCAUGAAGGGGAGUCAGGUCAGGAACUGAAGGAUCUGGAGGCAGGGACCAAGAAGAAGACUCACUACAGUGGCUUGCUUCUUAUGGCUUGCCCAGUCCCAAGGGGCGGUACCACCCGAAGCAGGCCUGGCCCUCCCACAUCAAGUCUUUAUCAAGAAAAGGACCUACAGACUUGUUUACAAGCCAUCUGAUAGAGGAGCUUCCUCCCUUCCUCCCUGAUAACCCUUUCUUGAAUCAAAUCCACAAAAUAACUAAGACACUGUGGUUGCCUCUCUCAGAUUGCACAUGUCAUUGUCUCUUUGUCCGCUCCUCUGGAGCAGGGUCCACCCGCCCCUGGGACCACACCCUUAGUCUUGUGAUGAGGGGGUUUGUGAUGAGUUUCAGACUUCUGGAGUACUCAGAGAAGUCCUGCUGCUCCGUAGGGGUCCCGUCUUCCUCAGAGGCCACACCUGUGGCCAUGUGUGGAAUGCAGUAGGAGGUGAGCUUCACCAAACCAGAUCCAUUUGUGGAUGAAUCCAACUGGGCUACUUAAGGAGAGAAAUGACCCCUGGGAUAGUCUACUGCAACACUCAGUCUGAACAUCCAUAAAUGGUUUCCACGCCUACGUUUGGUUGGUUGAUUUUGGUUUUUGAGGGUUUUGUUUGUUUGUUUUGGGGGGGGAUUAUUGUUUGUUUAGGUUUUGUUUUGGUUUGGUUUAAUAUUUGGCCUACAUUUAACAAUUCCCAUUUAUCACCGGCACCAGGCCCCAGUUCUGGCUAUUUUCUGUUUUGAGAAUGGUUAUGAUAUCAGAAACUCUCAGUCUUUGCUUCUUGCCCCCAAUGGUAGUUUUUCUACACCAUCUUAGUUCCUCUGAUACUUUACUCUCAAGCUAUGCUGGGCUGGGGUUGAGGUGAUAAAUUAAUUCUAGUAAUCUCUUAUGAGAGCCCUCAAAGCCGAGAAAUAGAAUGAAGCAUGUUCACAUAUGGGUACAAAUGCUCCCAGGGUUUCUCGAAAGCUGUAAAUGGUCUUGUUAUACCUGUAUAUAUGAAGAAGGGAAAAAGCAAGACUGAAAGGGGACCUUGUGACAAGUGUAAGGAUUCCUCAUUGCUCACAGUUCUUCCUACAGUAUAGAUUGGUCCUUAAGUCAACUUAGAUGGAUGUUUUGCUGGUCCGUAUGUGUAAGGGUAGAAGAGAAGCCUUAGUGGUCUCCACAUUUCACUGGGGGUGCAAAGUUACUUACAAAUGAUUUUCUCCAUCUGAAAUCUAUGGUGUAGUUGCUUGUCCCCACCCCCACCCUAGCUUCUGCAUAAGAGCCCUGCUAUUCCCAUAGCUCUAGUAGCCAGCUCCAACUUCUCCCUAGUGACAGUUGCUGCUUCUUGUCACUCAGCAGGCACCGGGAUUCAGAAGCCACUUGUCCUAGGAAGCUUUUGAAUUUUGUUGAAGGGACUCUAGAAUUUUGAGCAGGUAUGGCCUGCUGUCCUCUGACAGCUGUAUGCAAGUUAGACGUGGCCAAAGAUCCGGGAGAGCAGCCUUGCCCUAGGUGGGAAUGGGGAGAGCUUAAACUGAAGCUGCCCUAGAGUCCAGACGACUCUUGCUGCAUUCCUUGGCAAUAAACCUGAUCAUCAACACAAGAAAAAGUGAACCAAGGACAGUUGUCUGACUUGAGCUCGUCAGACUGUUAAGCAGCCAUUAAAGAGGGAGCAGCAGGCUCAGAGGGAGAUGUCAAGAGUUAGCUCCAGAUCCUGAGUAUCCAGGUUGAGGCCUGCAGUAGUUCCAGUGUUUAAAUGUGAAAUCUGGGGGUAGCUGAGUGGCAGAGGGCUUACCUAGCAUGCAGGAGACCCCCGGGUUCAGUCCCAGAGGCCAGUGUGGUCCCUGACUCAUUGCAUGAGACCGCUUGUAGGUCAUCCAGCCAUGGAGGUUGCUUUUCCCUGUCUCCUCCUCCUAUGGCUGUGAGGAUGGGAGGAUGCAAGUAGCAGGGAAUGUUUCCUCGACUUUGAGUUUAGGGUACCCACCCACACUUUGUCUCCUUUCAGACUUCAGCCCCACCUAGACCAGGGCCUCAUUCCCACAGGUUGGAGAGCCAUUGGCUAUGGCAGCCCCACCACUUCUUUUAUCCUUCCGAGGAGACAAGCAGCUUCCUGUCCUUGCAAACUUCUGAGCUGAUCUUUUCUCUGUUCUGCUAUUCCCCAUGGAGAUUAAAUUCCUUAUAUCUUUAAA